UUGUUGCUGGCCCCUGCAUGGGGGCAUGUGCACACUCUGUUUACACAUCCACUCACACCUGUGCACCCUCUGUAGUUCUAUGUCCUGGGGGCCUUGUCCUCCUGCCGUGGUUCUACGUCUUUACACACACACAUUGAAAUGAAGUCUAAUGGAAUGUAUGUCGCGUUUAACGCAAUGAAAUACAACUUUCAGCAACGGAUCUCUUGGCUCUCGCAUCGAUGAAGAACGCAGCGAAAUGCGAUAAGUAAUGUGAAUUGCAGAAUUCAGUGAAUCAUCGAAUCUUUGAACGCACCUUGCGCCCUUUGGCUAUUCCGAAGGGCAUGCCUGUUUGAGUAUCAUGAACACCUCAACUCUCAUGGCUCGCCGUGAUGAGCUUGGACUUUGGGGGUCUUGCUGGCCUGUGGUCGGCUCCUCUCAAAUGAAUUAGCCUGCCGGUGUUUGGUGGGAUCACAGGUGUGAUAACUAUCUACGCUUGUGGUUUUCCACCAGGUAACCCUCAGCAAUGGAGGUUCACUGGAGCUUAUAAACGUCUCUCCUCAGCGAGGACAGGUUUUGACCAUUUGAUCUCAAAUCAGGUAGGACUACCCGCUGAACUUAAGCAUAUCAAUAAGCGGAGG
rnacentral:rRNA from 1 species